UACAUGUUGCCCAAUUUAAUAUGCCAAAACCAUUAAUUUAUCAUUCAUAAUCUUGAAUUUAGUCCCAAACAGCCACACCAUAUCUGGAUAAAAACCACCAAAUUUUUCAAUUUAGUACCAAGUAUUUCUGUGCAUACAAUAAAUUAAAAUCUAUAGAUCUUCAAUUUAAAAUCAAGUCAUAAAUCAAUUUAUAUUAAAGCUGGGUCACAACUCACAAGCCUACAGACUAGCCAACUCACAAGCAUAUAACAAUUCCAAAUUAAUAGUUGUUAAUUUUCAAUUUCUCUUCCAUUACAUAUAGACAUAAUGCAAAUAAUAUGUUUUUUUUUUCUUUAUAUAUAGGCAAUUUAGGCUGUGGUGUCUUGCUUCACCUCUCACCUAAGGCCGUAGGACACCUUGUCACCUUUCAACUUGAUAAAAUUGCAUAUAUGAUACAUGUGAUUCACAGUGGGUAUCAUGUAUGUUUAAAAAUCGGGGCACGCAAAAAAUCAGUUUUAAUAAAAAAACUGAACUGAACCAAUUUAAUUCGAUUUUUCAUUUAAUCAGUUCGCUUAAUUCAAUAAAAAAAACCAAAGUAACCGAACCAAACCAAUCUUUUAAAAACUGUAUAUAUAUAUAUAUUCU
rnacentral:misc_RNA from 1 species